CUGGUGCCAGCAGCCGCGGUAAUUCCAGCUCAUAGCGUAUAUUAAAGUUGUUGCAGUUAAAAGCUCGUAGUUGAAUUUCGAGAUCAAUUUGUUGGUCGUGCCUCGGUACGUACUGGCAAUUUUGGUUUCUCCCUUCUGAAGAACCAUGAUGUCAUUAAUUUGAUGUCAUGGGGAAUCAGGACCGUUACUUUGAAAAAUUAGAGUGUUUAAAGCGGGCUCACGCUUGAAUACAUUAGCAUGGAAUAACGAAAUAGGACGUUUGAUUUUAUUUUGUUGGUUUCUAGGAUCGACGUAAUGAUUAAUAGGGAUAGUUGGGGGCAUUAGUAUUCAAUUGUCAGAGGUGAAAUUCUUGGAUUUAUUGAAGACUAACUACUGCGAAAGCAUUUGCCAAGGAUGUUUUCAUUAAUCAAGAACGAAAGUUAGGGGGAUCGAAGACGAUCAGAUACCGUCGUAGUCUUAACCAUAAACUAUGCCGACUAGGGAUCGGAUGAUGUUAAUUUUUUAAUGACUCAUUCGGCGCCUUACG
rnacentral:rRNA from 1 species